AGCGAACGCUGGCGGCAGGCUUAACACAUGCAAGUCGAACGGGCACUUCGGUGUCAGUGGCAGACGGGUGAGUAACACGUGGGAACGUACCUUUUGGUUCGGAACAGCUGAGGGAAACUUCAGCUAAUACCGGAUAAGCCCUUACGGGGAAAGAUUUAUCGCCGAAAGAUCGGCCCGCGUCUGAUUAGCUAGUUGGUAGGGUAAUGGCCUACCAAGGCGACGAUCAGUAGCUGGUCUGAGAGGAUGAUCAGCCACAUUGGGACUGAGACACGGCCCAAACUCCUACGGGAGGCAGCAGUGGGGAAUAUUGGACAAUGGGGGCAACCCUGAUCCAGCCAUGCCGCGUGAGUGAUGAAGGCCCUAGGGUUGUAAAGCUCUUUUGUGCGGGAAGAUAAUGACGGUACCGCAAGAAUAAGCCCCGGCUAACUUCGUGCCAGCCGCCGCGGUAAUAC
rnacentral:rRNA from 1 species